rnacentral:lncRNA from 1 species
AUGGACCCCACCUUCACACUGCAGAAACUGCCCACUCUUUCACUUCCAGUCUUCCUGAUUGAAGAAUCUUCUAGGCCACAUCCUCGAGCUGUAUCCAAGGAAGUCUGUAAAUGUGGCAGGCUUGUUACCUGCAAGAUGCCCUUUAAGGGUCUUAUGGAAGUACUUGAAACCCCCUGGCUGGAGACACUGGAUGAUGUUGACUCAACCCCAAUCCUAUACCUAAGAAGUGACAAACCCGAGGCUUGGCUGAGACUGCAAGGAAGAAUGCCAAAAGACUUUUCCAGAAAUAGUACAGUGACCAUGUCACUUUCAGUUCAACAAGUCUCUCCUUCCCUACACAGCCAAGUUUAG